rnacentral:rRNA from 1 species
CCUACGGGAGGCAGCAGUGGGGAAUAUUGCACAAUGGGGGAAACCCUGAUGCAGCGACGCCGCGUGAGUGAAGAAGUAUUUCGGUAUGUAAAGCUCUAUCAGCAGGGAAGAAAAUGACGGUACCUGAUUAAGAAGCCCCGGCUAACUACGUGCCAGCAGCCGCGGGAAUACGUAGGGGGCAAGCGUUAUCCGGAUUUACUGGGUGUAAAGGGAGCGUAGACGGCAGCACAAGUCUGGAGUGAAAUGCCGGGGCUUAACCCCGGAACUGCUUUGGAAACUGGGCAGCUAGAGUGCAGGAGAGGUAAGUGGAAUUCGUAGUGUAGCGGUGAAAUGCGUAGAUAUUAGGAGGAACACCAGUGGCGAAGGCGGCUUACUGGACUGUAACUGACGUUGAGGCUCGAAAGCGUGGGGAGCAAACAGGAUUAGAUACCCUGGUAGUC